rnacentral:rRNA from 1 species
UACGGAGGGGGCUAGCGUUGUUCGGAAUUACUGGGCGUAAAGCGCACGUAGGCGGCUUUGCAAGUUAGAGGUGAAAGCCCGGGGCUCAACCCCGGAAUUGCCUUUAAGACUGCAUCGCUUGAACGUCGGAGAGGUGAGUGGAAUUCCGAGUGUAGAGGUGAAAUUCGUAGAUAUUCGGAAGAACACCAGUGGCGAAGGCGGCUCACUGGACGACUGUUGACGCUGAGGUGCGAAAGCGUGGGGAGCAAACAGG